rnacentral:rRNA from 1 species
AAAUAGAUACCCGGGUAGUCCACGCCGUAAACGAUGAGUGCUAAGUGUUAGGGGGUUUCCGCCCCUUAGUGCUGCGGCUAACGCAUUAAGCACUCCGCCUGGGGAGUACGGUCGCAAGACUGAAACUCAAAGGAAUUGACGGGGGCCCGCACAAGCGGUGGAGCAUGUGGUUUAAUUCGAAGCAACGCGAAGAACCUUACCAGGUCUUGACAUCCCGCUGACCGCUAUGGAGACAUAGCUUUCCCUUCGGGGACAGCGGUGACAGGUGGUGCAUGGUUGUCGUCAGCUCGUGUCGUGAGAUGUUGGGUUAAGUCCCGCAACGAGCGCAACCCUUGUUCUUAGUUGCCAUCAUUAAGUUGGGCACUCUAAGGAGACUGCCGGUGAUAAACCGGAGGAAGGUGGGGAUGACGUCAAAUCAUCAUGCCCCUUAUGACCUGGGCUACACACGUGCUACAAUGGACGGUACAAACGGUUGCGAAGUCGCGAGACGGAGCCAAUCCGAGAAAACCGUUCUCAGUUCAGAUUGUAGGCUGCAACUCGCCUAC